rnacentral:rRNA from 1 species
GGCAGCGCGGGGCACACUGGCGGCGAGCGGCGAACGGGUGAGUAACACAUCGGAACGUACCCUGUUGUGGGGGAUAGCCCGGCGAAAGCCGGAUUAAUACCGCAUAAGACCUGAGGGUGAAAGCGGGGGACCGCAAGGCCUCGCGCGACAGGAGCGGCCGAUGGCGGAUUAGCUAGUUGGUGGGGUAAAGGCUCACCAAGGCGACGAUCCGUAGCUGGUCUGAGAGGAUGAUCAGCCACACUGGAACUGAGACACGGUCCAGACUCCUACGGGAGGCAGCAGUGGGGAAUUUUGGACAAUGGGGGCAACCCUGAUCCAGCCAUUCCGCGUGAGUGAAGAAGGCCUUCGGGUUGUAAAGCUCUUUCGGCAGGAACGAAACGGUGGGCUCUAACAUAGUCUGCUAAUGACGGUACCUGAAGAAGAAGCACCGGCUAACUACGUGCCAGCAGCCGCGGGUAAUACGUAGGGUGCGAGCGUUAAUCGGAAUUACUGGGCGUAAAGCGUGCGCAGGCGGUUUCGUAAGACAGAUGUGAAAUCCC